rnacentral:rRNA from 1 species
GUAGGUGGCAAGCGUUGUCCGGGAAUUAUUGGGGCGUAAAGCGCGCGCAGGCGGUUCUUUAAGUCUGAUGUGAAAGCCCACGGGCUCAACCGUGGAGGGUCAUUGGAAACUGGAGAACUUGAGUACAGAAGAGGAAAGCGGAAUUCCACGUGUAGCGGUGAAAUGCGUAGAGAUGUGGAGGAACACCAGUGGCGAAGGCGGCUUUCUGGUCUGUAACUGACGCUGAGGCGCGAAAGCGUGGGGAGCAAACAGGAUUAGAUACCCUGGUAGUCCACGCCGUAAACGAUGAGUGCUAAGUGUUAGGGGGUUUCCGCCCUUAGUGCUGCAGCUAACGCAUUAAGCACUCCGCCUGGGGAGUACGGCCGCAAAGGCUGA